rnacentral:rRNA from 1 species
AGAGUUUGAUCCUGGCUCAGGAUGAACGCUAGCGGCAGGCUUAAUACAUGCAAGUCGUGGGGCAGCAGGGGUGUAGCAAUACACUCGCUGGCGACCGGCAAACGGGUGCGGAACACGUACGCAACUUACCCUGAACUGGGGAAUAGCCCGGGGAAACCCGGAUUAAUACCCCGUAAUAUUAUGGUGUGGCAUCACACUUUAAUUAUAGCUCCGGCGGUUCGGGAUGGGCGUGCGGCUGAUUAGGUAGUUGGUGUAGGUAACGGCUCACCAAGCCUGCGAUCAGUAACUGGUGUGAGAGCACGACCAGUCACACGGGCACUGAGACACGGGCCCGACUCCUACGGGAGGCAGCAGUAAGGAAUAUUGGUCAAUGGACGCAAGUCUGAACCAGCCAUGCCGCGUGGAGGAUGAAGGCCCUCUGGGUUGUAAACUUCUUUUAUAGGGGACGAAAUCAACUAUUCUUAGUUGUCUGACGGUACCCUAGGAAUAAGCACCGGCUAACUCCGUGCCAGCAGCCGCGGUAAUACGGAGGGUGCAAGCGUUAUCCGGAUUCACUGGGUUUAAAGGGUGCGUAGGCGGGCAGGUAAGUCAGUGGUGAAAUCUCCGAGCUUAACUCGGAAACCGCCGUUGAUACUAUCUGUCUUGAAUACUCGGGAGGUGAGCGGAAUAUGUCAUGUAGCGGUGAAAUGCUUAGAUAUGACAUAGAACACCAAUUGCGAAGGCAGCUCACUACAGAGUCAUUGACGCUGAGGCACGAAAGCGUGGGGAUCAAACAGGAUUAGAUACCCUAGUAGUCC